ensembl:lncRNA putative ferric-chelate reductase 1
GUUUUAUUUAUUAAUUCUGUGCUUAUAAUUGUUUGGUUUUAUACAUUUUUUGUUUUUGUGGUGUUUUUCUUGUGUGGCUCUGACGUAGAUGAUGGAAAAAAAAACAAAACAAAACUUCUGAACACAAACUUCCGUACAGAAACAGAAGAAAACAAAAGCUUAGACAGGAAUGAAAGAUGAAAAUCAACUUUGACUUUGGCAAAAAGACUGAACAGUCUGGUUUCUGCACGUCACUCCCUGCCUGUCCUCAACCUUUUUCAUGCAGUUAAAAUAAACAAAAUGACUUCUCUUUUUCUGAUCUACUUCUCUUUUUGACCUGUUUAUAUUUGUAUUCACCUUGCCCUCAUUUACAUAAAGCAAUAUUCUGUGAUAAAUAAACAAAAAAAAUGGUUUACAUGCACAGAUCAUGAAGUAAACUUCCCCCUAACCUUGGGGGAAUAUUAACAUUUUAUUUCAAAUAUCACACUAAAAUCUCCAGUUCAGUUAUUUAAACUAAAACUAAAAUAACCUUUUGAAUAAAUCCACCGGAAACAUUUUUUCCCCCGUGAGCUGAGAUUAAAUGGUUUUCUUGAGAAACUGCCUCAGUAGCACACAGACCGAGGAGGGACACACCCUGAGCAGGUAGUCACCACCCUCACCGUGCAUCAGCGCUGACAUCAGCUGAUUUAAUCGUCCCUGCGAGGAUGAAUCCCCCUCAGAGGGACAGGAGCAGCUGAAGAGAGGACAGCACAGCGUUCCACACUCACACCGUCACAGCAUCAAGAAUGGAGAGAGGAUCGAUCACGUCUGUCGCCACACUGGUGCUUUUUAUGGCAGUCGGUGUGCAGGGAGCCAGUAAUACGACACAGGUGAGCAUCGCUCGGACAGGCUGUGGAGUGAGUAAACUGUGUGUGGAGACGCCAAGAAUCUGCGACCCUGCAGGAACCGGCCCCUGUCUGUUCACAUCUAUCAACACCACCUCAAGAGCUGCUCCCAAUGGCAGCGCACUGUCCUUCGCACUCAGCGGAAACUCCAGCGGAUACAUCGCAGUCGGGCUCACAGUGAAUGCAUCUCAGGGCUUCACCAUGCUUUUCGUCUGCGCGCAAAACAGCUCAAACAAUGGCAGCUUCCUCUUCCUGACAGUGAACAGGAACAACAGCAACAACGAGCUCUCCUCAGCAAACAGGACAGUGACAGAAAUUAGAAGCCAGGUAGUAGGUGAGAAGAUCCAGUGCGAGUUCAACGUCCCCAAUGUCAACGCCACCCAGUCCAGGAACCAGGACACCACCUUCUCUGUCCUCCUUGGGUCUGGACCUUUAAGAGGAGAUGGUAUCGGGACCUUCAACGUCAGCCUGACCACCGGCCUCCUGAACAUUGCUGAUCCAACCAGCAACGUUCUGAACGCAACACAGGCACCCAACGUCACAACAACAUCAGGAGCCAGUGAUGCGUUCCACUCUCAUGCUGUGCUCCUCCUGCUGACUGUCCCCGCACUGUCCUUCCUGAAAUCAGCCUGAGAGUCUACAGAAGAUGUUCUGACUCAGUGAAGAUGCAGCUGAUUUACUGAAGUGUUUUUACUGAACUAACUCAGAAAAGUCUGAAGUUUUUUUCACUUUUUGUACCUGAUAAACACUUAAACCUGACGUAAUGACGGUCAAUUUGCAAACAUUUAAUGUGCUUUUGAAGCUCAGUUUUUGUUUCAUUUUCUAAGGACUCCAGUUAUCCCAUGUUUUUAUAUAUAUAUAUAUAUAUAUAUAUAUAUAUAUAUAUAUAUAUGUCACUACAGGCAUAUCUUUUUAACUUGCUUGUGAAUGUAAAUUUACAGAUUUGGGUGGAUGCUGAUCCCAGCAGUAGACCUAAACUAACAAAAAGAGACCCGACAACUCAGGACGAUCCUUUGAAUGUACUGUGACUAUAAGCUACCUGCAGAAGAAAUGAGCGA